rnacentral:lncRNA from 1 species
CAGAAAAAACACCAUAAGAAAUGCAAGUUCAUCUCCAUAUAAGGACUGGAACAUGAAGGUUUACAAAAUUGCAAUGUUAACUUGUAGUACCAUCAAACUGGGUAACAACUCAAAUGUCCAUCAUCAGGUGAACAGUUGAGAGAUGCUCAGAGGAACAGAAUGCAUAUACACUUGGCCAGACUUUUCUGUUGUGGAUUCUUUGUCUUUGGAAGACUAGAUAAAGGCAUUUUCCCCAAUCAACCUUUUGCAGAUCAAAUCCCACAUUGGCAUCUGUUUCUUGGAGGACCCCAAAUGGCACAACCUU